GGAUGUGAGGGCGAUCUGGCUGCGACAUCUGUCACCCCAUUGAUCGCCAGGGUUGAUUCGGCUGAUCUGGCUGGCUAGGUGGGUGUCCCCUUCCUCCCUCACCGCUCCAUGUGCGUCCCUCCCCAAGCUGCGCGCUCGGUGGAAGACGACGACCAUCCCUGAUAGAGGAGGACCGUUCUUGGGUCAAGGGUAUAGGAGUAGCUGCGCUCCCCUGCUAGAACCUCCAAACAAGCUCUCAAAAUAAAGACAAGAACAAAAACUCCGAGGAGAUAUUGUAAGUUGGAUGCACAGCUGUGUGCUAAGGCUUUUGGCAAGGAAAAAAAUGGACUGUCCACAUUGCCAU
rnacentral:snRNA from 1 species